CACUCGAAGUAAGCAGUAUGAACAUUUACACCUUUUAGUAAAUUGCCUGUCUAGACCAGGAAAGUACAUAACUACUAUUCAUGAGAUAUAUAGUUGUCUGACAAUUGCCAAAAUUUCACUUGCAGGCCUCUUAUGGUUUUGCUGUCUUUAACCUUUAAAUUACUAACUUUUAAACUUAUCCUUCACUGUUAGUGGCAUCCACAUAUUUCAUCAUAUUGAGUAAUUUUAUUACCCUUUAAAAACUUUUAGUAUAAAGAAUUAACCAAACCAAUUUGGUGAAAUUAUUCACUUUCUAUGUGUGAAUAAAUAAGGUACCUCAGUAGUAAGAACUAGUGGGAUUAAUUGCAAUAUUGAUGAUACUUACAUUUCUUUGUUUUCCUCGGGACCUUGUUAAGUGAUGGAUGGCAAAUAAUGGAGUGUAAAAAUAACUUAGAAGUAUAUUUGUUUAAUCUAGGGCUAAUAAUUUCCCAAGAAAACUAACUUGCUAUCUUGAACAGACAGUCCAAAACAAGAAUGCUCUAAAUUCAGAAAAUGGCUUAUUGGUGGUCUGAGUCACCUCAGUGUUAGGCUGUUGUACAAGUUCACAAAGGAAGAUACAUCCAAAUUCUGAAUGUUGCAGUCUCAGCUAUAGGAAGCUGUACGAAUUAAUAAAGGAAUCAUCUACUAGGCUUGAGCUACAAACGACUAGAAAUAUGUGUACCUAAAAGAUUUCUUGACUGGCCUGAUUUGUUACUGUUGGUUCUUGUAUACCUGUUCAUGUAAUUUUUUUUGCAAUCUGUUCACAAAUUACUAAGCAGUAGCAUUCUUCUUUUUAAACAGGGAACAUGGUCAAGAUUGCAGCACAGAUUCUUUGUGCAUUUGUUUCUUCUGGAUUUAAUUCCAUCACUGCUCUUACUUGCUCUGCAGGAAAAAUUGAUGACAAAUGAUAGAAAACUUUGUGCCGAGAAUCAUCC
rnacentral:lncRNA from 1 species